rnacentral:rRNA from 1 species
UGGGGAAUAUUGCACAAUGGGCGCAAGCCUGAUGCAGCCAUGCCGCGUGUAUGAAGAAGGACUUCGGGUUGUAAAGUACUUUCAGUCGGGAGGAAGGUGUCAAGGUUAAUAACCUUGGCAAUUGACGUUACCGACAGAAGAAGCACCGGCUAACUCCGUGCCAGCAGCCGCGGUAAUACGGAGGGUGCAAGCGUUAAUCGGAAUUACUGGGCGUAAAGCGCACGCAGGCGGUUGAUUGAGUCAGAUGUGAAAUCCCCGGGCUUAACCCGGGAAUUGCAUCUGAUACUGGUCAGCUAGAGUCUUGUAGAGGGGGGUAGAAUUCCAUGUGUAGCGGUGAAAUGCGUAGAGAUGUGGAGGAAUACCGGUGGCGAAGGCGGCCCCCUGGACAAAGACUGACGCUCAGGUGCGAAAGCGUGGGGAGCAAACAGG